rnacentral:tRNA from 1 species
GGCGACGUGGCCAAGUGGUAAGGCAGAGGUCUGCAAAACCUUUAUCACCGGUUCGAAUCCGGUCGUCGCCUC